rnacentral:rRNA from 1 species
GACGAACCGUGCGACCGUUAUUCGGAAUCACUGGGCUUAAAGCGCGUGUAGGCGGGACGGCACGUCUGUCGCUGAAAUCCCCCGGCUUAACCGGGGAACUGGCGGAGAUACGACCGUCCUGGAGGGGCGUAGGGGCAUCUGGAACGUUGGGUGGAGCGGUGAAAUGCGUUGAUAUCCAACGGAACUCCGGUGGCGAAGGCGAGGUGCUGGACCCUUUCUGACGCUGAGGCGCGAAAGCCAGGGGAGCGAACGGG